rnacentral:rRNA from 1 species
CUACGGGCUGCAGCAGUGAGGAAUAUUGCACAAUGGGGGGAACCCUGAUGCAGCAACGCCGCGUGGAGGAUGACGCAUUUCGGUGUGUAAACUCCUUUUAUAUGUCAAGAAAAUGACGGUAGCAUAUGAAUAAGCACCGGCUAACUCCGUGCCAGCAGCCGCGGUAAUACGGAGGGUGCAAGCGUUACUCGGAAUCACUGGGCGUAAAGGACGCGUAGGCGGGUUGGAAAGUCAGGUGUGAAAUCCUACAGCUUAACUGUAGAACUGCACUUGAAACUUCUAAUCUAGAGUAUGGGAGGGGGAGAUGGAAUUCGUGGUGUAGGGGUAAAAUCCGUAGAUAUCACUAGGAAUACCUAAAGCGAAGGCGAUCUCCUGGAUCAUUACUGACGCUAAGGCGUGAAAGCGUGGGGAGCAAACAGGAUUAGAUACCCGUGUAGUC